CGUCGUCCUCUGAAUGAAUCUAUCUCCUUCAUCUUUCUUACGUCUCCCUUGAAACGAUCGGACUGUCGUCGUUUGACGAUCAACGUACACGGAGGAAGCAAGAAGCAAAUCAAGAAAGAACUAAUCUCUUCCUUAAUCAGAAUUACACGUGUCAACAUCUCAUGCCACCUUUUCAUUUACACGAAAAGGCGGGAACACCUAGGGGAGGCUAUAUGCGCUAAUAUGACCUUUGCUAUUACGAAUGUGAGAAUAUUUGUUAUAUACAUUUUCUCGGAUCUGCUCUGAUUUUCAUGCAUAAAUUUUAUUUUGAAAUGUUUAUUCUUUUGGUUGUAUCACAUGUUUUUCCUUUUUCUGCAAAAGAAAAAUCAGAACGCAGGUGAAUUACCAUUUGCGUAGUUUCAGGGUGGUAUACUGACCUGAAAAGUAUUGAACGUUCCAAACCAAACUCUUUUCAGUGGGCGAUUGCAUACUUUUGUUAUACAGACACACACAAAAAAACGAAACUGACUAUGUAAAUGAAAUUUUCUUAACUUUUCUAUUUGCAUUUUCAUUUGUUCUAUGAUUUUAAUAGAACAUCAAACAUUUUGAUUGUAUGUGGUGAGUAUGCUGCACAUUUACUAAUUACAUUAUCCACAUUGUCUUAAUCACCAUAACCGUUUAUUUGUUUUUGUUUUUAAUUGAGAACACUAUCAAUACAAAAGUA